UAGCUACUCCCUCCGUUCGGAAUUACUUGUCGCAGAAAUGGAUAUAUCUAAACGUAUUUUAGUUCUAGAUACAUCCAUUUCCGAGACAAGUAAUUCCGAACGGAGGGAGUACAAG
rnacentral:pre_miRNA from 1 species